rnacentral:tRNA from 1 species
AAGGGUAUAGCUCAGUGGUAGAGUAUGUGCUUAGCAUGCACGAGGACCUGGGUUCAAUCCCCAGUACCUUCA